rnacentral:rRNA from 1 species
CCUACGGGAGGCAGCAGUGAGGAAUAUUGGUCAAUGGCCGGAAGGCUGAACCAGCCAUGCCGCGUGAAGGUCAGUGCCCUAUGGGCGUUAAACUUCUUUUGUGCGGGAGCAAUAAUGGUCACGUGUGGCCAGACGAGAGUACCGUACGAAUAAGCAUCGGCUAACUCCGUGCCAGCAGCCGCGGUAAUACGGGGGAUGCAAGCGUUAUCCGGAUUUAUUGGGUUUAAAGGGUGCGUAGGCGGUGAGGUAAGUCAGCGGUGAAAUGCCCCCGCUCAACGGGGUGAAGUGCCAUUGAUACUGCCUGGCUGGAAUGCGGAUGCCGUGGGAGGAAUGUGUGGUGUAGCGGUGAAAUGCAUAGAUAUCACACAGAACACCGAUUGCGAAGGCAUCUCACGAAGCCGCGAUUGACGCUGAUGCACGAAAGCGUGGGUAUCAAACAGGAUUAGAUACCCUUGUAGUC